rnacentral:rRNA from 1 species
UGGGGAAUAUUGGACAAUGGAGGAAACUCUGAUCCAGCAAUCCUGUGUGUGUGAAGAAGGUUUUAGGACUGUAAAACACUUUUAGUAGGGAAGAAAAAAAUGACGGUACCUACAGAAGAAGCAACGGCUAAAUACGUGCCAGCAGCCGCGGUAAUACGUAUGUUGCGAGCGUUAUCCGGAAUUAUUGGGCUUAAAGGGCAUCUAGGCGGUAAGACAAGUUGAAGGUGAAAACCUGUGGCUCAACCAUAGGCUUGCCUACAAAACUGUUGAACUAGAGUACUGGAAAGGUGGGUGGCACUACACGAGUAGAGGUGAAAUUCGUAGAUAUGUGUAGGAAUGCCGAUGAUGAAGAUAGCUCGCUGGACAGAAACAGACGCUGAAGUGCGAAAGCUAGGGGAGCAAACAGG